UCAAAAUGUAGACUGCUCAGUAGCACUGCAGAACACAGCUACAAUCUGCUUUACCAUGACCAGUCUCACUUCAGUAUCUACAGGUUCCUCAGCAACAAUCAAACAUACUUUCACACUGGAUGCCACUCGCAAAAGCCCCAAAGAAUCGAGCUCAUAUCACUGAUAAACAACGAGAGUCGACCAAGACCAUUACUGUUUCCUUAAAUAGGAAAGAGUGCAGCACCUUGAAAUUCUUCAUUCAGGCAUGUGCAGAAGAUGUUGUCAGUCCACUUAGCAAUGAGUUAAGAUUCA